UACGGAGGGUGCAAGCGUUAUCCGGAUUCACUGGGUUUAAAGGGUGCGUAGGCGGAUAUGUAAGUCCGUGGUGAAAUCUCUGGGCUUAACCCGGAAACUGCCAUGGAUACUAUGUGUCUUGAAUGUUGUUGAGGUGAGCGGAAUAUGUCAUGUAGCGGUGAAAUGCUUAGAUAUCGUAAGGUAGACCAGUGGCGAAGGCGGGUCUCUGGACAGUUCCUGACGCUGAGGCACGAAGGCCAGGGGAGCAAACGGG
rnacentral:rRNA from 1 species